ensembl:lncRNA
AGAACUAUGAGUUAGUUCUAAAAUGGCGCUCCUUGAGAGGGACAGAACAAGAUUUAUGUCAGGAGAAGUGCUGUAUUAUCAUAAGGAUACGUAUACUUGGAGGAAUGAAGGAAAAAAAGAGAGGCAGAGGUGGUCGAAGAGAGAGAGGGAGGAAGAGAGGGAGCUUGAAUCGGUUAAAAAUGGCGGAGAAAGGGGAGAUGGUUUGUUAAAGAAGAAUGGUAGAAAGUGUAAGCAGAGUGAGCUGUAUGCCGGAUCGAAGAUAGGAGGAGACAUGGAAUUCUGCCCACUCUGACUCUGGUUCCUGUC